AUUGAACGCUGGCGGCAGGCCUAACACAUGCAAGUCGAGCGGAUGAAGGGAGCUUGCUCCUGGAUUCAGCGGCGGACGGGUGAGUAAUGCCUAGGAAUCUGCCUGGUAGUGGGGGAUAACGUCCGGAAACGGGCGCUAAUACCGCAUACGUCCUGAGGGAGAAAGUGGGGGAUCUUCGGACCUCACGCUAUCAGAUGAGCCUAGGUCGGAUUAGCUAGUUGGUGGGGUAAAGGCCUACCAAGGCGACGAUCCGUAACUGGUCUGAGAGGAUGAUCAGUCACACUGGAACUGGGACACGGUCCAGACUCCUACGGUAGGCAGCAGUGGGGAAUAUUGGACAAUGGGCGAAAGCCUGAUCCAGCCAUGCCGCGUGUGUGAAGAAGGUCUUCGGAUUGUAAAGCACUUUAAGUUGGGAGGAAGGGCAGUAAGUUAAUACCUUGCUGUUUUGACGUUACCAACAGAAUAAGCACCGGCUAACUUCGUG
rnacentral:rRNA from 1 species